GGCCGGUUAGCUCAGUUGGUUAGAGCGUGGUGCUAAUAACGCCAAGGUCAUCCCCGUACGGGCCA